rnacentral:tRNA from 1 species
UCCCUGGUGGCUGAGCUAGUAAAGAAUCUGCCUGCAAUGCAGGAGACCUGGGUUCGAUCCCUGGAUUGGGAA